rnacentral:rRNA from 1 species
UACAGAGGGUGCAAGCGUUAAUCGGAAUUACUGGGCGUAAAGCGUGCGUAGACGGUUGCGUAAGUCAGAUGUGAAAGCCCCGGGCUCAACCUGGGAAUUGCAUUUGAGACUGCGUAGCUAGGGUGCGGAAGAGGGAAGCGGAAUUUCCGGUGUAGCGGUGAAAUGCGUAGAUAUCGGAAGGAACACCAGUGGCGAAGGCGGGUCUCUGGGCAGUAACUGACGCUGAGGAGCGAAAGCGUGGGGAGCGAACAGG